rnacentral:rRNA from 1 species
CCUACGGGGGGCUGCAGUGGGGAAUAUUGGACAAUGGGGGGAACCCUGAUCCAGCCAUGCCGCGUGUGUGAAGAAGGCCCUCGGGUUGUAAAGCACUUUCAGUGAGGAAGAACGCCUGGUGGUUAAUACCCAUCAGGAAAGACAUCACUCACAGAAGAAGCACCGGCUAACUCCGUGCCAGCAGCCGCGGUAAUACGGAGGGUGCGAGUGUUAAUCGGAAUUACUGGGCGUAAAGCGCGCGUAGGUGGCUUGAUAAGCCGGUUGUGAAAGCCCCGGGCUCAACCUGGGAACGGCAUCCGGAACUGUCAAGCUAGAGUGCAGGAGAGGAAGGUAGAAUUCCCGGUGUAGCGGUGAAAUGCGUAGAGAUCGGGAGGAAUACCAGUGGCGAAGGCGGCCUUCUGGACUGACACUGACACUGAGGUGCGAAAGCGUGGGUAGCAAACAGGAUUAGAUACCCCGGUAGUC